rnacentral:rRNA from 1 species
GGGGAGUUGUUCGCAAUGGGCGCAAGCCUGACGACGCAACGCCGCGUGGAGGAUGAAGAUCUUCGGGUCGUAAACUCCUUUCGAUCGAGACGAAUUCCUCCGGGGCGAACAACCCCGGAGGUUGACGGUACCGCGAGAAGAAGCCCCGGCUAACUCCGUGCCAGCAGCCGCGGUAAUACGGAGGGGGCUAGCGUUGUUCGGAAUUACUGGGCGUAAAGGGCGCGUAGGCGGUGCGGUAAGUUAGGCGUGAAAGGCCCGGGCUCAACCCGGGAACUGCGCUUAAAACUGCUGCGCUCUGAGUCCGAGAGAGGAUAGCGGAAUUCCCAGUGUAGAGGUGAAAUUCGUAGAUAUUGGGAAGAACACCAGUGGCGAAGGCGGCUAUCUGGCUCGGUACUGACGCUGAGGCGCGAAAGCGUGGGGAGCAA